UACGGGGGGGGCAAGCGUUGUUCGGAAUUACUGGGCGUAAAGGGCUCGUAGGCGGCCAACUAAGUCCGACGUGAAAUCCCCAGGCUUAACCUGGGAACUGCGUCGGAUACUGGAUGGCUUGAAUUCGGGAGAGGGAUGCAGAAUUCCAGGUGUAGCGGUGAAAUGCGUAGAUAUCUGGAGGAAUACCGGUGGCGAAGGCGGCAUCCUGGACCGACAUUGACGCUGAGGAGCGAAAGCUAGGGGAGCAAACGGGAUUAGAAACCCCAGUAGUCC
rnacentral:rRNA from 1 species